UCUAUUCCUCUUUCUCUCGCGCGUGAAAUCCCCGACUCCGACGCCUGCCUCGACGAUCGACGAUUCUCCCCUUUGCGUUCUCGGUGUCGCCGGUGAGGAGCAGAUCCCGGAGGGUGGUGAAGAAGGGGUUAGCUACCAACGAACUCUCCUUCUCCCCGACAUUUCUCUCCUUCCUGGUUUUGGCGAACAGUAGCGAUGGAUCUCCGAGCUUGCGGUUUUGCUUGCUAUCGGAAGGGAAUUGAGGGAGUCGGCGUUUGAUCUGGCCAGCGUCGACCGAUUGUGUGAGGUCACGAUCGUUAUCCCUCCCCGAUCUCCUUCCCCUAUUCAUCGGUAAGAACAGAUCGUACCCUAGCCGGGGGUCUUGGAGAGAUCCGUGUCUUGAUUCUGGCCACCACAGGUCUAUUGGAUCAAUCUUUUCCUCGUAUCUGUGAUCGUCUCCGGCGAUUGAAAGGUAGUAGGUAGGUGACAUGGAGUUGCUUGGAGUAUGCUGCCAGCCGGUCCCUCUUCCCAUGUUACAUCCGAGGAUUCUUAUCGGUUGUUAGUUUCUUACUAGUAGUAUUUCAUGUUUCAUGGAUUUGAUGUUGUUAGAUAGUGCUAUGUCUUGAUACGUGUAUUGUGGACUUAUACCUGUGGUGUGUUUUGUGGAC